AACGAACGCUGGCGGCAUGCCUAACACAUGCAAGUCGAACGAACCCUUCGGGGUUAGUGGCGCACGGGUGCGUAACGCGUGGGAAUCUGCCCUUUGCUUCGGAAUAACAGUUAGAAAUGACUGCUAAUACCGGAUGAUGUCUUCGGACCAAAGAUUUAUCGGCAAAGGAUGAGCCCGCGUAGGAUUAGGUAGUUGGUGGGGUAAAGGCCUACCAAGCCGACGAUCCUUAGCUGGUCUGAGAGGAUGAUCAGCCACACUGGGACUGAGACACGGCCCAGACUCCUACGGGAGGCAGCAGUGGGGAAUAUUGGACAAUGGACGCAAGUCUGAUCCAGCAAUGCCGCGUGAGUGAUGAAGGCCUUAGGGUUGUAAAGCUCUUUUACCAGGGAUGAUAAUGACAGUACCUGGAGAAUAAGCUCCGGCUAACUCCGU
rnacentral:rRNA from 1 species